CUGACCCUUCAUGACCCCAUUUGGAGUUUUCUUGGCAAAGAUACCAGAGCCAAUGGUUGGCCAUUUCCUCCUCCAGCUCAUUUUACGGAUGAGGAAACAGAGGCAAAGAAGGUAAGACUUGUUAGAAGUUGGAUUUGAACGUCAGGUCUUCCUGACUCUGGGCCUGGUACUCUGUUCAGUUGGCCACCUAGCUGCCUGUGAUGACGUGGCUAAUAAAAGUCAGAGGCAGGAAGAAAAUCCAGUUUUCCUUGACUUAAAAUCCAGCAAGCUAUUCAUUCUGUCACUGGAGAAACAGAUUCUCAGUUGCUUCCUAUAUCAAAGGUCAAACUCCCUUCUGGGUUGUCGUCAAUGUUGUGGUUUCUAGCCUGAAGGAUGCCUCGAGCUCCCAGUUUUUGGCAAAGCCAAGGCCUGGUUUUUAUAUUUGUGCCAAACUUCUUGAAGCUAGAAAUUGGACCUUGGCAGAGAAGCUGAAGCUGGAUGGCUACAUCAACACUGAUGUCAUCACUGCCCAGAGCUGAGACUUCCAUACAAGUACCCUGCCACCCAUACCCAGGAACUUCCGCCCAGUUUUGCAUUUCCCAGUGCCUGCUCCCAUGCUUUCUGAGUCUUUAGAGCUGGGUUUCUUAACCCUUUCUGUGUCAUGAAUCCCUUUUGAAGUUUGAUGAAGUUUUGUACCCCUUCUCUGAAUAAUGUUUUUGAAUGUAAAAUGUAAUAUAAAAUAAAACACACAGGAAUACAUACA
rnacentral:lncRNA from 1 species